rnacentral:tRNA from 1 species
GGCCCCGUAGUGCAGCGGCCUAGCACGCGGCCCUCUCAAGGCUGAAACGGCGGUUCGAAUCCGCUCGGGGCUACCAAUG